UUUUUUUUUUUCUUUUUUUUUUUUGAGAUGGAGUCUCGCUCUGUCGCCCAGGCUGCAGUGCAGUGGCGCGAUCUCGGCUCACUACAAGCUCCACCUCCACGCCAUUCUCCUGCCUCAGCCUCCCGAGUAGCUGGGACCACAGGCGCCCGCCACCAUGCCCGGCAAGUUUUGUAUUUUGUUUAGUAGAGACGGGGUUUCACCCUGUUAGCCAGGAUGGUCUCGAUCUCCUGACCUCGUGAUCCACCCACCUCAGCCUCCUAAAGUGCUGGGAUUACAGGCAUGAGCCACCACACCUGGCCAUGACACUAAUUCUUUGAAAUGUACUGGCAUUUGCUUUCUGGCCUAUUCUGACAGGCUCCAUGUGUGCCUGAAACUAAUGUGAUUUCCCAGCUGGGUGAGCCCCAUUCCAUAGACGUCCCUCCACUCAAGCCCAGGAACCAGCACCCUCAAACCUCAGGUAUCCUUAUUGUUUCCUUUUGAGUCUACUUGACCGAUUAACCACUAAGAGGAUUACCGAGCCCUCUGCCUAGGAUGGUGGGUUUGUGAAUUUCUCCUUGCAGUUGGCUGGGUUUUGCUGCAGCUUAUGGCUUUUGGAAACAGCUAACUUCAUGGUGUUGCCCCAUUCACGGGAGAUCCCAUCCGUCCUCACGUGUCAAGCUUCCCGCUGCGUGUGAACUAACUGCUACGCCCUCCACCUGAGCCCACGGGCUCAGGCACCUGGCUCACUGGACCUUCCGGGCCUUCACACCGGCUGUCCUGAGUGGAACUCACUUACUUCCCUAGAUCCCAUGCCCUCACCUCCUGAGUCUAGAGCAGCACCCAAGAAUUGGCCAGUCCACCUCUGUCAGAGAAGAAAGUGCAUGCCUGCCCAAGACCUGGGGUUUUCUGGUACAGAGGGGUCUGUGUCUGCGUCUGCCAGGCCAGGCAUCAGGAGGCCACGGGGCCAGCAUGGGGCUCAGGGUCCUCAAGGGAGACCUCCCUCCCUCCACCCAAAGGCCAGCCAAGGGGAGAGCUGAAAUUCCUGCUCUUUCUGGGGGCGGGGGGUCCCAUCUGCAGGGCUGGAACAGCAAGAGUGCCCCUCCAGUGUCACCCAUGCCCCCAGCAUCUGCCCCUCCUCCCUCCAGGGCACUGGCUGAGAUGCACAUGCAGCAGCGAGCGCGAGAACGAGAAGCUCCUGCUGUACCAGAGGACGGGCAGGCCCCUCUCCUGGUGAGGGCCACUGCCUCAGCAGCCACAGCUGUCUGGGCCUGGGGAGUACCUGGGCAGACAAGCUCUCGGCAGAGGGAGGUCCCGGGCUCUCAGCUGGGCUGGGCUGCCUUUCCUCCAGCACCCAUGCUCGGGGGCAGAUGGCCAGAGAAUAGGCCCAGGACAAGGAACAAAAGGUUGGACAAGCACGGGGCCUGUGACCGCAGGGGGCUGGCUGGCUCUGAGGUCCUGGCACAGAGGCUGCCACCCCAGGUUGCCAGGGAGGCUCCCAGCCAGGCCAUCCCCACCUCCCCGGGUCUCAGAGGCUCUGGGCAGGGCUGGAGGGAACAGUGGGGUGAGGACGGCCCUCGAGGGGCAGAGGGAGCCUGGAGGCGUAUUCAGGAGAAAACACAGGUGUGGAUGCCCAGGGAAGGAUGGGGAAGCCAUGCCUCUCUCAUCCCAGUAUCCCUGUCCCACCUCGCCUCAGCCCCUUCCCCUCAGGAGCCUUCCACAGGGACAGGAGCCCUCCACGGGGACAGAAGUCCUGCAGUGGGGAAGGCCCCAGGAAAGGGGGAGGGCUGGGGGCCUCAAGGCAGCCCGGCGGGGGUGGGCCGCUGCAGCAGUGCUGGGGGCUAGGGGCAGGGAGGGGCCUGUCUGGAGGAUCCCAGCCUUGGAACUGAGGAGUGGCCUCACAGGCCUCUGGCAUAGGAAGGGAGCUGUCCCAGGGUACCAGGCACAACCCCGGCCCUCCCACCACGUCUGCCCAGCCCAGUGGAUCCUGCAGGGGCUGACCUGAGGUGGGUACCCAAAGCAGGUCCCAGGGACCCAGGGGCUGCGCUGUGCUGCAAGACCCCCAUGCCCUCCAUCCACCUGUCUGCGGCUCUGGGGUCCCCCCGCAGAGGGCCCUGGGACUCCCUGCCUGUGGCCAGUCGAGGAAGGACCAAGUCCAGGCCCACCGUGGGUGACACAGCUGAGCAGCCCCCACCCCACCAGCACUUCCUGCAGCUUCAGCAGCAGCCUCUCUCCAUCCCCAAGGGGCCAAGCAUCUACCCGAGGCAGGAGGCCAACCCCCC
ensembl:lncRNA